rnacentral:lncRNA from 1 species
CCUCCCAGCCGCCGCCCGCCGCCCGCCGUCCAAGGCUGCGCUCGUGCUCGGGAACCCUCGCGUCCGCCGACGACUCGCUGGUGCCAGGCGCUUGAGCGGUGGGCUGGAGCUGCUCGCCCGCCUGCGCGCGCUGCGGCCUGCGGGGGUGGCGGUAAAUUCUUCUGCGCUCUCGCCUCGUCUCCGCUCCGAGUUGCCCGGGGCUGUUCCCCUGGUCUCGACGGCGGAUUCGGCAGCGGCUGAUCAGGUCAGUCUGCUACUCUGCUUGGUUCGGUUGGGUGCUCUGGUCUUUUUCUCCGGAGAAGGAUUGGGCGUUUUGAUCCUGCUUCACGGGCUUAGGCCUGCUCUUCACCAAGGGGUUAGUGGACGUUCCAGGGUCCUGAUUCUCUCGCUGAUCGGUUGAUCAGACGGAGAUUUGGGAGGAAUUCGCCC